ensembl:lncRNA
GAGGAGAAAAUUGCUCCUGUAUAAAAUGGAGAACGAGAAGAAAAGCACAUUGUGGCUGCUGGGGAGUAGGACCAGGGAGUACGGGCUUCAUCUUCAUUGCUUGGUCUGAGUUCUGGGUAAGGCCAACAGCAAGUUUAGCAGAGACCUUGCACUGAGGUAAGUUAAGUGACAAGUUCAGUGAGAAACCAGGGCCAGUGCAUGGAGAAUUACUGACCAGGCAACUGGAAAGGGUUAUCUAAGCUUUGGGUUACAGGUUCAGCUGGCCAGGAGGAGCUGCAAAGAAGGUCAAUUCUGUUAAGCAAAUUCUCUGCCUUUACUGCUCUGAAACCAGAGCAGGUGACAAAAGUAGUAGUGAGGUGUAUUUUAAAAGAGCCAUCAGCCAAGAAAUCGGUCUUCUCUCUCCAGAUUGUUGCUGCAGCCCCUUGCAGUGGGUGCUCACAAGAGCAGGUCAUGGAUGCGCUGAGCACAGAUGAGUCCAUCCCUCCUUUCCCCAUCUGUCCUCUGAACAGAGACACAGGGCUGAUUCUCAUCUUCCCUGUGGGCUGGAAAGGAGACACUGCCAGCUCUUACAUGGACCCACCAGCUGAACAGGAACAACUUGUGGAAAUGAACUCUCAUCAAAAGCCCCAAGCAGUGCACAGACUGUGGAGGAUGAAACUAAGCUCAGGUUAAAGAAGAGAGAGAUCAGGGACCUUCCCUAUUUUUCUACCGUAAUCUGUUUAUGUGCCAACUUCAGAAUAUUUAGAUUAGAAAAAGCAAUGACGACUCUACUUGUCAAAAUAGUCCAUAUAUAUAUAUAUCUUUUUUUUUUUCAGAGGGACUGGACUCUAGUUUUCAUAAAGCCCAAAGCAAUGCUUUAUCUCUUAGGCUGUAAUUAAAAAAUGGUUUCCAAAGCUCAGUCUCUUUCAGGCAAAUGCCUGUUUAAGAAUACUGUAUAUUUAAAAACAGUUUUUUCUUUUGUCCAGAGAACAGGUCUGGAAAGGCUUUGUAAGGCAGAAAGCUUUAUAUGAACUUCUCCUUCCCCUGGUGAAGAAAUCAAGGUUAUUAAUGUCAGCCUUUUCAUCCUUUGCUUCUAAACAUGUCAAACAAAAAUCCAGCACAAAUCCCUUUUAUCAGGUGCACAGGCUGGUACUAUCAUUAGCAGGUCUCUUAAGGAAAUUAAGGCCAUUAUUCAAGACCCUGGUGACUGCAGCUGUUGGUUGAGCUUGGGUGGGACUGAUUACCUCCUUGUGACUAGCUGUUCGCUUCUGUGCUUUGCUGGAUCAGUUUUUCAUUGCUAUUGAGCAGCGGGUUCACAGAAAAAUCCAGAGGUCAUUUUUUGAGAGAUUUUUCUUGGGGUUCUUGAAUGAUGAUAUGAUUUGGCUGUUAGUGGUGAACACCCGCCCAUGAUAUUUAAGCUCCGUAUUUCAGAACUUUAUUUGUAAACACCUCAUCACCUAUUUAGGGUUCAUCCAAUAUAUAUGGAGAGUCAGAGCAACCAGUCUUGGGAUAUUCCUCUGGCAAUCUCCCAAGCUAUUGGAAAACGGACAGAAGAGUCUAUUGUAAAACGCACCACCUACCUUCUCUAGUUUGGAAACUUCUUUAUUAGGUUUUGGACCUUUGAACCUUCUGCUGUAGGAUACAAGACUUUUCUUUACAAACAACAAUACAAACGGUGCCUCCAUUUGCACUCAACUGCUCAUCAUCAAGAGAGACCAGACUUUAAGUUCCAUCUCUGCCCAGGUAGAGUUGACCCUCCAGAUCUCAGUUCACACAGACCAGUUAAAUGCUGAUUGUCACAAAAAGACUGAAAGGAAACAUGGCCCUAGUAUUUGGCACUGAUGCCAAGAAGGAGACAGUGGGUGCUGAUAGUUCUUAAAAGAGAUGUUAAACGACUUUAUAGAACCAAUAAAUUAUCAGCCUUGUACCUCUUCUGCCA